rnacentral:lncRNA from 12 species
CCAGGUUACCAGCCUCUUCAUCUCCAGGACCCAGACACCCAGUGCUCACCUACAUGGAGCCCUAUCGGUCCUUGGCUCUACUCACUGGCUCCCUGGGCCUGGUGUCCAUCCUGAUUGCUCUGAGUACGGAUUUCUGGUUCGUGGCCAUGGGGCCCAGCUUUACAUUUCACUCCGGCCUCUGGCCAAAGGGGGUUUAUAACAAAGUAGCAGACUACAUCCGUGCGACGCAGAGCCUCACCAUUCUGGCUAGUCUGUCGGUCCUGGUGUCGGUGAUCUUCCUGGUCCUGUCCUACAUCCCCUUACUGUCCCUUCCAGGCCACGGGCGCCUCAUCUCCUCUGUCACAGCCUUUGCUGCAGGCCUUUUUGCGAUGGUGGCCAUGGUGGUCUAUACCAGUGAGCGGUGGAACCAGCCUCACAGCCCCCAGGUCCAGACCUUCUUCUCCUGGUCCUUCUACCUGGGUUGGGUUUCGACUGUCCUGUUGCUCUGUACAGGUGACUGUUGCUCUGGGAACUGGAGGCGGUCUGGGGUCUGAGAGAGCAGAGUGGGGGCAAGCGCUAACCUCUCUCUGCCACACCAGGUAGCCUGAGUCUGAGUGCUUAUUGUAGAGCCUCCCGGCCUGGCUAUGACACCUUGUGAGCUGAAGGCGAGACCAGGAGGAAGAAGCAGUAGUCACAGAAGAUGUCGUCAGGAGCCGCAGGCACCCACAGGCCUCCCUCUAGCCCUUACCCCUAGCCCUCCUGAGACCCCUUCAUUUGUUUCUUCAUCCAUUCAACAAAAAUUUGCUGGGAUCUGGUUAAUCUUUCUUUUUUCUUUUUAAGAUUUUAGUUAUUUAUUUGUGAGAGACACAGAAAGAGGCAGAGACACAGGCAGAGGGAAAAGCAGGCUCCCUGAAGGGAGCCUGAUGUAAGAUUCGAUCCCAGGACCCUGGGGUCAUGACCUGAGCAGAAGGCAGAUGCUCAACCACUGAGCCACCCAGGCAUCCUGGAAUCUGGUUAUUCUGAGAUUAAUUCCGACACGACAUAAACUGAGCUCCAAGGUGGGGACACUAGGCACACAGAAAGGAGUCAGAACCCCCACCUGUGCUCAGGUAGCUCCCGCACACGACUGUGUGGAUUCAGGCACGGUCCCAUGUCUUUUCCUUCUCUUGCCCUUAUCUUUCUCCCUGUUUCCACCUCAAGACUCUCUGUCCUUUCUCUUUCUUCUUUAUCUUUCCAUCUCACUCCUGCUCUGAUUUUGUCACCCUGGUCUUCACUCUGGUCCUCCUUGCCCACUUCAUUAAUUCACUUACUCCUUCAGCUGGCUUUUCCUGAGCUCAUCUUUCCUGCUGGGUCUCACUGGGGUGCUGAUGGUAAUCUGACUUGGGCCUUGCCCACUAGGGCUGCUAGUCCUGGUUGGGGAAAUUGAGACCACAGGUAGAGUCCAGGAUGGUGGGAAGAAAGACUGUUGGGGGUGGUGAAGGUGAGCUUUUCUGGGGAGAGGGUGUUUAGGGGCUUCUUGAGGGCCAAGGAGAGGUCAUCCAGGCAGAGGGACAC